UCAGGCUCACUUGGCUGGAGACAUCCGCUACUGAAAGAUGUUCUCUUGCUGCUUUCCCACUUCUGGGGACUCUGGCUUCCAGGAACCCCAGGGACGCUGCUUGUUCAAAUGCUGUAGACUUUGGCUCCACCAUCAAAACCAAAUGCCUCAGGGCAUUUAUCAAGAGGCAACGUAAGGUAAUACAGAGCAGCCCAGGCCAGGCCACCUGUGCCGCCAUCCUGGGCAGCCCCAUUCCCUCCUCUUCAGUUUCAGGGAAACAGAGAUGUGUGGGCAGGUCGCAUCCAGGCUGGAGGACGUUGCAGGGCAGCAGGUUCCCCGGUGAUCCCUUCAGGGUCACCCUGAUGUCAUGGUAGGCAGGGUGGAAAGAGGAUUCCUGAGGUACCUCUUGCCCAGCCCAGAGUUAACCCAAGGCCCUGCAGCUGUAUCCCUUUGCUCUCCUUGGGGGAGGUGUGUGCCGACUGUGGCUGUGGUGUGUCUGGAAUGGAGUCAGCUGGGUGUGCGGCCCAGCCAAGGCAGCCAGACUGGGCGCUGAGGCCUCCUGCCUGGCUGUUAGGCACUGUCUUUACAGAGAUCCACACAGUACAUGGGGCGGGAGCGGGAGGAAGAGAUGGUCUGCUCCACUGCUUCAAGGAACAGGAAGGUAGGUGCACAGCUAACAGAGGCCAGCACAGGCUCAAGGUGAGUGCAGGGGCUGGGGCCACCCGACACCGAGGACCCCAAUGUGGCAGGAAGGGCCCCAGGUCCCAGAAGCCAGCCUGCUACUCCCUUGGACUCCUCCCUAGACUCCUGCUCCCACAGGAGUCUGGAUUCCCCUCUCCCCAAACUUGCCCCCAUGGCCCUGCCCCUUCCUGGGCCAGAUGCAGAGUCUCUGUGCACAGAUUUGUAGGAAUAUCAGAAUAGAGCCUUCAGGGGAUCCCUGGCCGCCCUGUGGUUUAGUGCCUGCUUUCUGCCCAGGCCCUGAUCCUGGAGACCCGGGAUCGAGUCCCACUUCAGGCUCUCUGCAUGGGGGCUGCUUCUCCCUCUGUCUGUGUGUCUGCCUCUCUUGGUCUCUCUCUGUGUCUCUCAUGAAUAAAUAAUAAAAACUUUUAAAAAGAGACACACCAUGUCUCAUCACAUGCAGUCUCCAGUAGUUUGCACUGUGCUAUGCUUUCUCCUAACUGGAGCUCCCAGGAGGCCCCAUUGGCCUGAGGUCCUUCCCCAAGGCUUGAGCAUGGUCCUGAUGAGUUGGGAGACUUUUUCCCAAAGGGAUACGGGGCUCACUGUACUAUGUCUAUUGCUCUGCAGUUAGGUUUUGAAAGAGCACAUCCCUGCCCCCCCCUCCCAGGGUCAGGCACAGGGGCCUCAUGUGCUGUACAAUAUUUCAGAAGGCCAGUUGGUUCCCACAGCCACUGCGCCCUUCACUGAUGCAGGACUUCGAUGCGAUUCCCUUCUGUUGCCAAAUCACAGGGCAGCACUGAACAUCCUGCAGCCCUCACACCCAAGGAAAGGUCUCCAUGUUGGCACCUCAACAGUGGGACAUGUGGUCAGAUUCAAGGAGCAAAGCUGGUAAUGCAGGGAGGUGCUGACAAUCGGACCUGGGAUACCAACCUCUCCCACUUGAGAUCCUUGUAUUGAUCCAAAUAUUUUUGAAAAUUUAUCCUCUAAGAUUAUUUCUUUAUUGGAUAGUUUGUUUGUUUAAGAGACAGGCAGAGAGCAGGGAGUAGGAGAGGGAGACACAGGCUCCUCAAGCAGACUCUGCCCCAAGUGCAGAGCCUUCCAGGGGUGGGAUCUCAGGAUGCUGAGACCAUGACCUGAGCCACAACCAAGAGUCAGAUGCUAAGUGACUGAGCUGCAGGUGUCAAGCCCUGUGUUCCUGCUGUGGGGACUCCUGCCCCCCUCACCCACUGAGAGCUCAGGCUUUGGUCUGCGCUCCAACUCCCAGGCCUCCUGGCAGCUACAGUGCAAGCUGCAUGUCCCCUCUGUUCCACUUCAGGGUGAAAAGGCCUCAACCCUGAGGAGGAAUCAGAUCUGCCCGAUGAGCCCCAGCCAGACAGAGCUGCUGGAGCACGAAGUAGAACAACUGCUGCUCGCCUUGCUGUGCAGGGGCAUCCUCUACAUUUUCAAUUUUCUAAAGACCUAGAUUGAAUUUGCCAGCACCCAAGAGGUACUGGACCUGCUGUUUACAAAAUAUGGAUGCAUCCUAGCUGCCUGUGAUGACAACGACAGAGUCCUGGAGCAGUGGGAAAUGUGACUGAGCUCUGGCUCAUGCAGGAGGGCCUUCCCUCUCCAGGAGGGCAGCGAGGGGGCUGUGGGUUGGAGGGGCUGCUGGACCCUCACCCCACACAUCUGCAGUUCCUGUGACAGGGCCUAUCUCCUACAUGCUGGGAAUCUGGCUGGACUACUAUAAGGAGGAUUUUUGUCAGCCCCCAGAAUGUCCCUCACAAUGAAGCCACUGGCAGUCACAGGGCAGGACUUGCCAGGCUCAGACCUGGAAAACGGUGCCAAGCGUUACCUCGAACGAUUCAGAAACCAUAUCCAGCAGAGCCAGAGGCUGGGGCUUAGGCCCCCGAACAACACACUGAACCACCUCAAGAGCAACUCAACCUCUGACUGUGGGGACUGCUGCACCGUCAGGGCCUGAGGAGAUCAGGGCGGUCCCAGCUUCUGGAGCUGAGGGAUUGGCCCUAGCUGAGAUGCCAGCUGUUGAGUCGAAGCCACUGCUGAUGGGGUCACAGCUCUGAUUCAUGUUUACGACCUGGAGGGACACCUGAGCCAUUGGGAACCCUGGAGGCCGAACAGGGCUCACCACGGGCUAUGGAGGUAGUGGAAGUGCCAGAGCAGCUGCCUAAUUCAAGGAGGAAAUGGCUGUGGACCCUGAGCAACACCUUGAACCACAUCAAGAGCCUACCCCAGGUCCAACUGUGGGGCCUACUGCACUUUCAGGGCCUGAUGUGAUCGAGGCAGUCCCAGCUAUUGGAGCUGAGGGCUUAGCCCGAGCCGAGAUGCCAGCUGCUGAGUCAAAGCCACUGCACAUGGUGGUCACCGCGCUGAUUCCCUGUUCCGACCUGGAGCAACACCUGCGUGCUUGGGAGCCCUGGAGGCCGAACAGGCCCCACCACUGGCUAUCGACCUCAAUGAUGUGCCAGAGCAGCUAACUAAUUCAGUGGAGCAAAUGGCUUUGUACCCCGAGCAAUAGGCUGAGCCACCUCAAGGCCCUGACCCAGCUCUGACUGUGUGGCCUGCUGCACCUUAAGCGCCUGAGGUGAUCGAGGCAGUCCAGGCUUCUGAAGCUGAGGGCAUGGCCCGAGCUGAGAUGCCAGCUGCUGAGUCGAAGCCACUACAGAUGGGGUUCACAGCUCUGAUUCAAUGUUCCGACUGAGUGGAACACCUGUGCUCUUGAGAGACCUGGAGGUCGAACAGUCCCCACGUUCGGCUAUCGAGGUCCUCAAAGUGCUGGAGCAGCUACAUAACUCAGUGGAGCAACUGGCUGCAGACCCGGACAAAAUCCAAUACCACCUCAAGACCCCACCCCAGCUCCGACCUUGGGGCCUGCUGCAUCUUCAGGGACUGAUAUGAUCGAAGCAGUCGCAGCUAUUGGAACUGAGGGCUUGGCCACGGCCAAGGUGCCAGCUGUUGAGUCGAAGGCACAGCAGAUGGUACUCACAGCUCUGAUUCACUUUUCAAAUCUACAUGGACACCAGUGCCCUUGGGAGCUCUGGUGGCAAAAAGACCCCACCAUGGGCGGUGGAGGUACAGGAAGUGCCAGAGCAGCUGCCUAAUUCAAGGAGGAAACCACUAUGAAGCCGGAGCAACACCUCAAACCACCUCAAGAGCCUACCCCAGGUCCAACUGUGGGGUCUGCUGCACUUUCAGGGCCUGAUGUCAUUGCCGCGAUCCCAGCUAUUGUAGAGGAGGGGUAGCCCAAGCCGAGAUGCCACCUGAUGAGUCAAGCCACUGUAGAUGGCAUUCACAGCUCUGAUACCCUAUUAUGCCUAGGAGCAACACCUGGGUGCUUCAAGCCCGGUAGACCAAACAGGACCCAGACCGGCUAUUGACAUCAACGAUGUGUCAGAGCAAUUAACUAAUUCAGUGGAGCAAAAAGCUUUGUAAAACCUGGCAACACCCUAAACCACCUCAAGACCCCAACCAAGGCCCGAAUGUGGGGCCUGCUGCACAUUAAGAGCCUGAGGUGAUCAAGGCGAUCCCAGCUAUGGUAGCAGAGGGCUUGGCCCAAGGCGAGAUGCCAGCUGCUGAGUCGAAGCCACUGCAGGUGGUGGUCACAGCUCUGAUUCACUGUUCCGACCUGUGGACACCUGCGCCCUUGGGGCCCCUGGAGGCCAAAAGGGCCCCACCACUGGCUAUCGAGGUCAUGCAUGUGCCAGAGCAACUACCUAAGUCAGUGUAGAAACCGGCUUCCUACCCCGAGCAACAUGCUGAACCAGUUCAAGAGCCCGCCCAGGCCCCGACUGUGGGGCCUGCUGCAUCUUAAGGGCCUGAAUUGAUCUCGGCGGUCCCCGCUUCUGGAGCUGAGGGCUUGGCCCGAGCCGAGAUGCCAGCUGCUGAGUCGAAGCCACUGCAGAUGGGGGUCACAGGUCUGAUUCCAUAUUCUGACCUGGAGGGACACCUACACCCUUGGGAGCCCUCAAAGACGUACAGGCCCCACCACCGCAUCGCCUAUCGAGGUCAUCGAUUUGCUGGAGGAGCUACCUAACUCUGUGGAGCAACGUGCUUUGGACCCCGAGCAACAACCUGAACCACCUCAAGACCUGCCCCAGGCCCGACUGGGGGCCUGCUGCACCUUCAAGGCCUGAGGUGAUAGAGUCGUGCCAGCUAUUGGCGCUGAGGGAUUGGCCCGAGCCGAGAUGCCAGCUGCUGAGUCAAAGCCACUGCUGAUGGCAGUCACGGGUCUGAUUCACGCUUCCGAUCUGGAGGGACAACUGCGCCCUGGGGAGCCUUGUAGGCCGAACAUGCCCCACCAGCGGCUAUCGAGGUCGACGAUGUGCCGGACCAGCUACCUCACGCAGUGGACCGACUGACCUCGACCCCGAGCAACACCCUGAACCACCUCAAAGGCUUGCCCCAGCUCUGACUGUGGGGCCUGCUGCAUAGUCAGGGCCUGAUGUGAUUGAAGCAGUGCCAGCCUCUGGAGCAGAGGGCUUGGCCCAAGCCGAGAUGCCAGCUGCUGAGUGGAAGCCACUGCUUUUGGUGGUCACAGCUCUGAUUCAAUGUUCCGACCUGCAGGGACACCUGCGCCCUUGGAGCCCUGGAGGCCGAACAGGCUCCACCACCGGCUAUCUAGGUCAUGGGUGUGCCAGAGCCGCUAUCUAACUGUGCAGACCAACCGGCUUCGACACCGAGCCACACCCUGAAACAACUCAACACCCUGCCCCAGCCCCGACCAUAGGGCCUGCUGCGUCUUCAGGGCCUGAGAUGAUCUGGGCGGUCCCAGCUUCUGGAGCUGAGGGCUUGGCCCGAGCCGAGAUGCCAACUGCUGAGUCCAAGCCACUGCACGUGGUAGUCACAGCUCUGAUACCCUGUUCGGACCUGGAGGGACACCUGAGCCGUUGGGAGCCCUGGAGGCCGAACAGAGCCCACCACCUGCUAUCGAAAUCAACGAUGUGCCAGGAUUCCUGCCUCACUCAGUGCAACAGCCGGCUGCGGACCCCGAGCAACAGCCUAGACCACCUCAAGACCUGCCCCAGGCCUGACUGGGGGCCUGCUGCACCUUCACGGCCUGAGGUGAUCGAGGUGGUCCCAGCUCUUGGGGCUGAGGGCUUGGCCCCAGCCGAGAUGCCAGCUGCUGAGCUGAACCACUGCAGACGGUGGUCACAGCUCUGACUCAAUAUUCCGAACUGGAGGGACACUUCGAUUUGGUAGCCUUGGAGGCCAAACAGGCCCAGCCACCAGCUGUCGAGGUCAUUGAUGUGCGGGAGCAGCUACCUAACUCAGUGGAGCACCCGGCUUCGACCCCGAGCAACACCCUGAACCACCUCAAGACUGCCCCGGGCCCGACUGUGGGGCCUGCCGCACCUUGAGAGCCUGAGGGGAUCGAGGCGGUCCCAGCAACUGGAGCAGAGGGCUUGACCCAAGCGCAGACGCCAGCUGCUGACUUGAAGGCACUGCAGAUGGUGGUCACAGCUCUGACUCAGUAUCCUGAACUGGAGGGACACUUCGGUUUCGUAGCCUUGGAGGCCAAACAGGCCCAGCCACCAGCUGUCGAGGUCAUUGAUGUGCGGGAGCAGCUUCCUAACUCAGUGGAGCAACCGGCUUCGACCCCGAGCAACACCCUGAACCACCUCAAGACCCCGCCUCAGGCCCGACUGUGGGGCCUGCUGCACCUUAAGAGCCUGAGGUGAUCGAGGCGGUCCCAGCUAUUGGAGCCGAGGGCUUGGCCCGAGCCGAGAUGCCAGCUGCUGAGUCGAAGCCAGUGCACAUGGUGGUCUGGUCGCAGCGCUGAUUCCCUGUUCCGACCUGGAGGGUCACCUGCGCCCUCGGGAGCCCUGGAGGCCGAACAGACCCCACCACUGGCUCUCGAGGUCAUCGGUUUGUCAGAGUAGCUCCCUUACUCAGUGGAGCAACCAGUUGUGGACCCCGAGCACACUCUGAACCACCUCAAGAGCCCAUCCCGGCCCCAACUGUGGGGCCUGCUGCAUCUUCAGGGCCUGAGGUGAUCCAGGUGGUCCCAGCUACCUGAGCUGAGUUCUUGGCCCAAGCCGAGAUGCCAGCUGCUGAGUCGAAGCCACUGCAGAUGAUGGUCACAGCUCUGAUUCAGUGUUUUGUCCUGGGGAACACCUGCAAUAUUGGGAGCCCUGGAGCUUGAACAGUCCCCACCACCACCUCUGGAAAUCAUCAAUUGCCGGAGUCCCUAACUUACUUAGUGAGCAACUCGCUGCAGACCCGAAGCAACACCCUGAACCUCCUCAGGGGCCUGCCCCAGCUCCGAAUGUGGGGCCCGCUGCAUCUUUAGGGCCUGAUGUGACCGAGGUGAUCCCAGCUAUUGGAGUGGACGCCCUGGCCUUGGUGAGAUGCCAGCUGCUGAGUCGGAGCCACUGCAGAUAUUGGUCACUUCUCUGAUUCAAUAUUCCGCCUUGGAGGAAUACCUCUGCCCUUGGGAGCCCUGGAGGCCGUACAGGCCACACCAGCGGCUAUCGAGGUCAUCGAUGUGCCGGAGCAGCUACCUAUAUCAUUGGAGCACGUGGUUUCAUAUCCUGGUCAACACCCUGAACCACCUCAAGAUCCUGUUCUGGCCCCGACUGUGGGGCCUGCGGCAUCUUCAGUGCCUGAGGUGAUUGAGGGGGUCCCAGGUUCUGGAGCUGAGGUCUUGGCCCUACCCUAGAUGCCAACUGCUGAGUCAAAGUCACUGCAGAUUGUGGUCACAUCUCUGCUUCACUAUCCCAACCAUGAGGCCCCACCUGCACCCUUGGCCACCGCGCAGGAAGAACACACCCAGGCGUCUGUUAUCAAGGUCGCUUAAGUGCCAGAACAGCCACCUGUCUCAGUGCAGGAACUAGCUUUUGUCCCUGAGCAACACCCUGAACCACCUCAAGACUCCUCCCCAGCUCCUAGCGCGGGCCUGCUGAAGCACCUGCCCUGUUCUGUUCAUGCCAGGCUCAGGUGUUUGUGCUGAGGAUUGGCCCGAUUCGAGAUGCCUGCUGCUGAGUCAAAGUCAAUCCACGUGGUAGUCACUCCUCUGAUUCACUCUCCUGAUCUGGAGGAGUCACCUGCAACCUUGGCCACCCCAGAAGGAGGAGCAGGCUCCGGCGCCCGCUCUCGAGUGCAUCGAAGGCCUGGAGCAGCCACUUGCCUCAGUGGAGCCACCAGCCUUGUCCCCCAAGCAGCAUCUCAUGGUGGCUGCAGUGCAACAGAAGGCUUCCUCUCCCCUGUCAUUGCACUGUUUCUAUAUUUUGUGUUUUUCAUAAACCUCUAUAAUGGCUUCAUGAAUUUUAUUUGUAAUAAAGGAUAAGUUAACUUCAUAUAAAA